rnacentral:rRNA from 1 species
GUGCUAAUACAUGCAAGUCGAGCGGGGUUACUACGACAGAUCCCUUCGGGGUGACGACGUAAUAACCUAGCGGCGGACGGGUGAGUAACGCGUGGGUAAUCUGCCCUAGAGACCGGGAUAACAGCGGGAAACUGCUGCUAAUACCGGAUACCUUUCAAAGGAGGCAUCUUCUUUGAAAGAAAGCUAUGGCGCUCUAGGAUGAGCCCGCGUCCCAUUAGCUAGUUGGUGAGGUAACGGCUCACCAAAGCGACGAUGGGUAGCCGGCCUGAGAGGGUGUACGGCCACACUGGGACUGAGACACGGCCCAGACUCCUACGGGAGGCAGCAGUAGGGAAUAUUGCGCAAUGGGCGGAACCCUGACGCAGCGACGCCGCGUGAGCGAUGAAGGCCUUCGGGUCGUAAAGCUCUGUCCUCAGGGAAGAAGAAAGUGACGGUACCUGAGAAGAAAGCCCCGGCUAACUACGUGCCAGGAGGCCGCAGUAAUACGUAGGGUGGCGNGCGUUGUCCGGAAUUAUUGGGCGUAAAGGGGUGCGA